rnacentral:rRNA from 1 species
AGGUGCUGCAUGGCCGUCGUCAACGACGUCUGGUCAGCAUGGCCC